UCAAAUUUGAAAUCUGGCUUCGGCCCGAGUUGUAAUUUGUAGAGGAUGCUUUUGGUGCGGUGCCUUCUGAGUUCCCUGGAACGGGACGCCAGAGAGGGUGAGAGCCCCGUAUAGUUGGACACCAAGCCUUUGUAAAGCUCCUUCGACGAGUCGAGUAGUUUGGGAAUGCUGCUCUAAAUGGGAGGUAUAUCUCUUCUAAAGCUAAAUAUAGGCCAGAGACCGAUAGCGCACAAGUAGAGUGAUCGAAAGAUGAAAAGCACUUUGAAAAGAGGGUUAAAUAGUACGUGAAAUUGUUGAAAGGGAAGGGCUUGUGACCAGACUUGUGCCGGGCUGAUCAUCCACGGUUCUCCGUGGUGCACUCUGC
rnacentral:rRNA from 1 species